GAUGAACGCUGGCGGCGUGCCUAAUACAUGCAAGUCGAGCGAACAGACGAGGAGCUUGCUCCUCUGACGUUAGCGGCGGACGGGUGAGUAACACGUGGAUAACCUACCUAUAAGACUGGGAUAACUUCGGGAAACCGGAGCUAAUACCGGAUAAUAUAUUGAACCGCAUGGUUCAAUAGUGAAAGACGGUUUUGCUGUCACUUAUAGAUGGAUCCGCGCCGCAUUAGCUAGUUGGUAAGGUAACGGCUUACCAAGGCAACGAUGCGUAGCCGACCUGAGAGGGUGAUCGGCCACACGAGAACGGAGACACGGUCCAGACUCCUGCGGGAGGCAGCAGUAGGGAAUCUUGCAGAAUGGGCGAAAGCUUGACGGAGCAACGCCGCGUGAGUGAUGAAGGUCUUCGGAUCGUAAAACUCUGUUAUUAGGGAAGAACAAAUGUGUAGGUAACUAUGCACGUCUUGACGGUACCUAAUCAGAAAGCCACGGCUAACUACGUG
rnacentral:rRNA from 1 species